GAGCUUUAUUGCACCAGAAUAACCAUUUUAGAAUAGAGUUCUAGGGAAGAGAAGAAGCAUGGAAAGACAAGACUAACAAAGUGGGCAAUCUUCAAAGUAAAUCAAGGCCAGUUGCCAAAGUGUCAAAAUACAAGGAGAAAACCAAAGGGUCUAAUAAACCUUGCUCGCUUUUUUCUAUAUUACUUUCACCAAAAUUAAAGUUUGCUAGCCAUACUAGAUACCAAUGGUAAGCAUAAUCUAAACCCAAUCUUUCAUCAUCAUCUCAGUAUCCAGUUACAAAUAGACAAUUAAGAAAAACAUAAGCUUAUUAUCAAGAAAGUAUUAGUCAUUUAUCAUGACACUCAAUUUGUAUACAGUGAUAUAAAACUACCAAAUAAUAUUAGGACUUUCAAUUAAAUAAUAGUGCCCAUUAAAUCUGAGAACAGCUGAUUAUUUUAACAAGACUCUUCAAUAAUCCAGCAGGAAAAAACAUGAAAAAAAACUUAAAUAACAUGUAUGAACCAAAGAGUAGAAAGCAACAACUUUUUACUUACAAAUUAAUUCGUCACUACAUGUCAAAUUAAAUUAACACAUUAGAAAAAAAAGAUUGAUCCGAACACAUUAGAAAGAAAAGAUUGAUCCGAUCGAAUCAAUUACCCACAAACUAUGGAUUCAUUCGUCAGAUCCAAAACCCUAACCCCGUCUAAAUUGUUUCUUCGUUAAUAAUCUAAUUAACAAAUAAAAUGGGCAUAUAAACAAAUUAUAGGAGAUGUACACAAUUCACAAGAUAAGCAGCAGUUGAGCAAUAAACGCAAGAAACCAAGAUUGCUCAUCGAACCUUAAUCGUUUCGAUCAAGGCCUCACCACCACUAGCACCGUUCCUCGCACACAGCGUAGGCCGGAAAGGAAAGCACCUUGACAUCCUAACAAAUUUAUACUAGAAAGCUUCAAGCUUUAUUAAUUAUUUUACCCUGCGUUUAAUUUCUUUCCUUGCUUGCAAGAACGAAACCCUAGAGGCGGCGACCGAGACAAUUGAGAAAAAAGGCUUUCGAUUUAUUUCACGCGUUGGACGUCUAUUUAUAGAGUGGAAGCCGAGGUCUUAACCGACUUUUUAUGUCGGUCCGCAUCUUACGCAAAUUCUAAUCAGCAUCGAAUAAGGAUACGUCGACUUCCUUUAAGAAAAAAAAAAUCUCAAUAAGAAAACAUGUUUAAUUAAAGGUUUCAACUAUUUCUUUUUUUAAAUAAAACUAU
rnacentral:lncRNA from 1 species